UAAAGAAUCUUCCAAAAAUCUAACCCAACCCUCUCCUCUUUCAGUUAAAGAGCUUGCCCUAUCACUAUCUGUACGUGUAAAAAGCCAGCCUCUCUUCUUUUAUACCCCCUUUUAAGUACUGGAUGGACACAAUGAGAUCUCACCAAAGCUUUCUGUUCUCCAGGCUGAACAACGCCAACUCUACCUUUCCCCCUAGGAGAGGUCCCUCUAACCAUCUUCAUGUUCCUCCUCUGGACUCAUUCCAACAGGUCCAUGUCAUUUUUGCAGGGCUGAGGACCCCAGAGAUGGAUGCAGUACUGAAGGCGGGAUCUUGUGAAAGCAGAGUAGAGGGCGAGAAUCACCUCCCUCAGCCCCCUGGACUCACCUCUUUAGAGCUAACUCUUUUCUGGCCUCUCUCCAUACACCAGUCUAGCAAUAUACAAAAGGCUGCUACACUUCAAGGUUAGGCUUCUUCAGUGUACAUCAUGCAGUAAAAUCUGUGAUCCAAGAGAAGACAGAAAACAGUAGACUCAACAAGAGGCAUUUCUCUUUGUUAUUACUAGAGGAAAAAUACUGGUUUUCUUGGGAAACCAUCUCACAGGUCCACUGAUCUCUGUAGUCUGUAUCACUGAAGACUUUAACUGAUCACGUUUGUAAGAUAAUUAUUUCCUAUCCAGCUCCUUCAGAAACAGAGCUGCUGUUGGACACAUGCCUUUCACCGGCUCCAGUGACAUCUGCAUCAAUUAGUAGUGCUUUUACAAGCAUUAACUCCAGCAUGAACUUUGAAAUUUUGGAAAUCUGUUGUGCCUACAGGGUAAAAGGUUGGUAAAAGACCAACCUUCUCCAACAUAUUGUCUGUUCAUCUCAGUCCUUAAAAUCCCAUUGCCUCUUAUCUCAGUCAGAAAAGAGAUUGUCUGCAAAUUGAGAGGAAUAUCAUGAAUAAAAAAGAUAACCUUUGGACUUGCA
rnacentral:lncRNA from 1 species